CGGUGAAACCGCGAAUGGCUCAUUAAAUCAGCUAUGGUUCCUUAGAUCGUACAUGCUACAUGGAUAACUGUAGUAAUUCUAGAGCUAAUACAUGCCACUAUGCCCUGACCCGCAAGGGAACGGGUGGAUUUAUUAGAACAGAACCAACCGGGAGCGGCUUCGGUCGUUCCUGUUGCACUCUGUGAUGACUCUGGAUAACUUUACUGAUCGCAGUCGGCCUUGUGUCGGCGACGGAUCUUUCAAAUGUCUGCCCUAUCAACUUUCGAUGGUAGGUGAUCUGCCUACCAUGGUGAUAACGGGUAACGGGGAAUCAGGGUUCGAUUCCGGAGAGGGAGCCUGAGAAACGGCUACCACAUCCAAGGAAGGCAGCAGGCGCGAAAAUUACCCACUCCCGGCACGGGGAGGUAGUGACGAAAAAUACGAAUACGGGACUCACUCGAGGCUCCGUAAUUCGAAUGAGUACAACCUAAAUCCUUUAACGAGGACCAAUUGGAGGGCAAGUCUGGUGCCAGCAGCCGCGGUAACUCCAGCUCCAAAAGCGUAUAUUAAAGUUGCUGCAGUUAAAAAGCUCGUAGUUGGAUCUGGGUCGCGCGAUUACAUGUCGCUGCGUGGUUCUGACUUCGGUCGGUUCAAUGCGGUGAUGAGGUGGUCGUGCAGCCUUUCAGCCGUGUCUGCGUGAGCAGGUGUUGGCUAGUCGGUGGGCUUGCUUGCUGGCUAGUCGGCAUGUUUCCUGAUGCCUUUAAACGGGUGUCGGGGGCGUACGGCACUUUUACUUUGAACAAAUUUGAGUGCUCAAA
rnacentral:rRNA from 1 species